rnacentral:rRNA from 1 species
UACGUAGGGUCCGAGCGUUGUCCGGAAUUACUGGGCGUAAAGAGCUCGUAGGUGGUUUGUCGCGUUGUUCGUGAAAACUCACAGCUCAACUGUGGGCGUGCGGGCGAUACGGGCAGACUAGAGUACUGCAGGGGAGACUGGAAUUCCUGGUGUAGCGGUGGAAUGCGCAGAUAUCUGGAGGAACACCGGUGGCGAAGGCGGCAUCCUGGACCAACACUGACGCUGAGGAGCGAAAGCCAGGGGAGCAAACGGG